UACAUGGGGUGCAAACGUUGCUCGGAAUUAUUGGGCGUAAAGCGCACGUAGGCGGUUCGUUAAGUCGGAUGUGAAAGCCCUCGGCUCAACUGAGGAAGUGCACCCGAAACUGGCGAGCUUGAGUACGAAAGAGGAUCGCGGAAUUCCCGGUGUAGAGGUGAAAUGCGCAGAUAUCAGGAAGAACACCCGUGGCUAAGGCGGCUCUCUAGUACGGUACUGACGCUGAGACGCGAAAGCGUGGGGAGCGAACAGG
rnacentral:rRNA from 1 species